GCAUGAAACUCAGGAAUCACUUCCUGUCUCUGAGAGAUGCUGGGUCCAGAUGUGGGGCUGUGAGUUGGGGCAAUGCUGAGGACUUGCCAACUCAAAUUACCUCAAGAAGUCUCCACUAAAGGAUCCGAAGGCUCAGAAUAUGAUUUCAAUCAAGGAAACAGAGCCCUUCAACACCGAGGCAAGGACAGGUGGCCUUUGACAAACACAGAGACUUGCAGAAGGAACCAUAUUGAAGGUGUUUUGAUUGCUGCAACCUGGAACUGCUGACCCAAGGAACUGUGCUUGGAAAUCCGGAAAGGGGACAUGGUGCUUCCAGCCCACGCAUCACCAGAACCUUCUGGCACGCAGAGUAGCUGGGUCGGGAUUAAGGCAGUGGACUCCUUUAACAAGCCAGGUCUAAUUGUGUCUCUGCAGAUGUUUAAUGGAAGCCAGAAUCCCAGACAGGCAGCUUCAAGAACAAUGCUGGACAGGUUCUCAUGUGGGAACCAGAGACACAAAAGUGGUGGUAGUUAAUCAAGUCCCUGGUUCUUGGGAAGCGACAACACAAAGAGCUGCAGCAUCUGAUCAUUACCCUGGAGCUCAGACACAAGACGCAGUCCUGUCUGAGCCCUCAUAACACUGCUCACGUUAGCGACUCCCCUCCAGCACCAGGCUUCCUCCUGGAGAGAGGAAGCGUGCCUUCUGGCAUCCCUCAGGACUCCAGAGUCUACCCUAGAGUCGAGUCCCAGGGAAGAGAGUUGAUUGGCUCUCAGCGAAUCGCAUGCCCAACUCUGUACUAGGCACUGGAACCGGAGGGAGAUAAGACACAAUGAUUGGCUUUCCCCCGGGUCACGUGAUCACUCUAUCUCGGGGCGUUUCAGCAGAAAGCAUGGAGAAGACUGUUCUUCACAGGUCAUGGAAGCUUGAGUCCCUUGACCAUCUUUCCCACAUCAGGUCCCGCAAAAGUCCUUGAACUAGAUGCAUCCAGCAAGCACUCUAUAAUUGCUGAGAGACAAACUGCUGCUCCCUCCCAACCCAAUAGCACCUUCUCUUUGACAUCUCAGGCCCGAGUGGAUGGAAAGGUAGACUCGUGAUUUGGAAUGAGUUCCUUUUCUCAGUAGGGCCCCACCCCAGGCAGUUUCUCCUAGUUCUGUGAACUAGAAAAGGUGGAGAGAUAUAUUUGAUAAUCCAGCUCACGGAGGGAGCUGAUGACCGGCUCUUGGAGAAGUGAUUUUCUUUGAACAUGAUACUACAGACGGGAAGCUGUCUCGAGUGUCCCAUCCUGGCGUGCAGAACACAGUUUCUACCUCUGGACCUGCCAUGAAAGCAAGCCCACACCCACACCCACGCCCUCCCAGCCUCCCAUUGGGUGUUCCUUAAAUGAGCGAACGGAACACAAGAGCCUGGCCGCCGUCUGACCUUCAGGCCCCACUCAAUGAAAGCAUCACAGCCAAACGGAAUGCAAGGGAGACUCAGGCAUCAGAGAGAAGCCCUCACUUCUACUGCUCAGGUCCAGGGCACCUGCAGAAACCAAGGAAGAGUCAGCUCGUCUGGAGCCUGGAAGCCCCUUGCAACAUUUGACAACCCUUUUAGGAGCAGAGGCAGCCUUGUCUACAAAAUGCAGGUGUGAUACCAGUUACGGACUCUAGAGGGCGCUUCCACAAGUAUUAAAUGAGCGCAGCAAGGAUCUGGGGCCAGCUGUAUCUGAAUGACCAUUCAUUCAUCCACUAAAUGUUAAAAUGGGGACUUACAGAGAAGAGCCAUCCCACCAGGCUUGCUGGGAAGCACAGAGAGGAGGAGCUACGUGCUAAGAGUGCAAGUACCCAAAAGUGACCUCUUGUCUCUCUACCUUCCCCGUCUCCCCAGUUGGAAUUUACCUCUGCACCUUUGUAUCUGAUGAGUCUGUCCAUCCUUCUCCUCACCUAAGGAUCCUGAAAUCCUUUAAGGGCAGAUGUGUCCUUUUUCCUCCAGGAAUCCCUAUCGACGGCUGUCUGUGACAGCUCAAACCUACCCUUUGUGGGUCGCUUAGCCCAUCUGUGGUUGGGGUCUUUAGCCUUUCUACAUGGACAGCAGGCUCCUCAGACCAGCAUCACACAGCUGUUACAUUUGCACACGAGGCUCAGGCUGAGGGGCACCAGGGAGCUUUUGGCUUCUGCCUUGAAUCCACGGAGAUAGCAGUCACCUUGUUUUUGUGGACUUGACGCACAGGCUCUAGUUAGUGGUCUGAGAUUGUCCUGUGCUGAUGACUCUCUUACAAGAUGGCCCACCCCCACCUCCUGUAUUCAUAUCACCCAGGUCCCAGCUCUGCCUUCCAGCAUGGCAGCUGGCUAGUCAUCCGAAGCAGAGCUUCUCACAUGCACCUGUGUGGAAUCUAUAGAACUCUCAGUGAGCUCUUUACAACACUGGGGGUUCCAGUGGCUAACCCAGGGCAAGCCCUCUGCGGUGGUUUGAAUAGGAGG
rnacentral:sRNA from 1 species